CUACAGACUUAAUUGGAUUGAGCCUUGGUAUGGAAACCUACUAAGUGAUAGCUUUCAAAUUCAGAGAAACCCUUGAAUGAAAAAUGGGCAAUCCUGAACCAAAUCAUAUUAUUUUAUUAUUUUACGAAAAUAAACAUGAACAAAGCUUCAGCAAGCGAGAAUAAAAAAAAGGAAAGGAUAGGUGUAGAGACUCAAUGGAAACUAUUCUAACAAAUGGGGUUGACUGUUGGUAAAGAAAUCAUCUUAGAAAAUGUCACAUUACAACUCAGGCUCCCAGUUCAUGGUGGUUAUACAGUCACAUGUUGAAGUAUAAUUAGGG
rnacentral:ncRNA from 1 species